rnacentral:tRNA from 2 species
GCCUCUGUAGUUCAAUGGAUAGAACAAAAGUUUCCUAAACUUUAGAUUUGGGUUCGAUUCCCAGCGGAGGUA